CCGGCAAACGGGUGCGGAACACGUACACAACCUUCCUUUGAGUGGGGGAUAGCCCAGAGAAAUUUGGAUUAAUACCCCGUAAGAUUAUUGAAUGGCAUCAUUUAGUAAUUAAAGCUCCGGCGCUUGGAGAUGGGUGUGCGUCUGAUUAGGUAGUUGGUGAGGGUAACGGCCCACCAAGCCUUCGAUCAGUAACUGGUGUGAGAGCACGACCAGUCACACGGGCACUGAGACACGGGCCCG
rnacentral:rRNA from 1 species